UUACCAUCUGUGGGCAAUAAGGUUUUCCCUUCAUCCUGCUUGGAGAAUCCCAGGUGGGAAGGCUAAGUCUCCCUAGGUGAUGUGGACACCACUCAGCACAGAGCUAGGCACCCUGAUUAGUUAACCAGCACCUGCUGAGCUGGGCUGGCUGCUGGUGUAGUAGGCAUACCAAACUGUGUGUGACCCCACACUUACUGUGCCUUGUGCAAUUGUUCUUAUGUCUAAAGAAGGGUUCUGAUCUCAUGCGUGGCUAGCUCCUGUCUUAGACUGCUUCCUAUCCAUAUCUGGUUCCUGCAAUGUCUUGGAUUCGUACGAUCCUUGUUUCUGGUUCUUGGCUUUUAUCCUGAAUGUUUUGGUACCUGACUUUAGUCUUUGGUUUCCCACUCGUCUCUGAGGCUGUACCAAAUGACUCUACCAAAUAACCUGUGCCAUCCUUCUAAGUGGUUCCUUAUGGCUAGGAAGGAUGGCAGUAAGCUGUGAGAGCUGACAGGGCUUGGGUCAGCAUGGUUCCCUGUGGAGUUUGUGCUAGAAGAGGAGUCGUCUUGGGAUGGUUUGUCUGAGGAUGCAGUAAAAGUAUGAGAGAAGUUGUGGAAAGGCCAGGUUAAGCCAGUCAGCACAGAAAGUGCUGCUGAAAACAAUGUGAAACUAGUAUCUGAGGUCAGUGCAGACAGGUGCUUUGCCAGACACCUCUGUAUUAGAACCUGUAGUACUGAGAAGCUGCAAGCACACCAGUAUGUUCUCAAACAGAUACAGUGACACCCCCCCCCCCCUCCAUGAGGUACAGGACUUCUCUGUACCCACGGGGAGAAGGCCCUGGAGAGGAGGGGUGUUAUGGACUUGGCUUGGAAGAGGACUGAAAGUCACCCUUUGGAUUUCUGGAGAGGACUGUCUGUGGAAGGAGCAAACUGAAGUCAAAUGAACUAUGUACUCAUAAGAGUAACUUCUGAAAUACUUGGCCAAGAGUAGUCCUAACACUGCCCAAUGAAGAAAUCUUCAAGCCUACUACACAAUCAGUCAACAACAUACAAAGUUUCAGAGAAGACAAGGAAGUCUACAUCAGGGAUGAAGUGCCAAUUCAGCAACAAAUAGGAUCUUCCUUUGCAAAUGGUACAGAAGCAGUUACGCCUAGCUGUCCAUGGCUGUUUACGGUAAAAGAAGAAAGAGGGUAGAUCUUAUGUAUGUGAAAUCCAGAAAAGUAUUUGCAGUGCUACAUUGGAAAUUAGCUAACCUGGAGAAGAUGGAGAUCAUUGUAAGACCAAUACAACUACAACCUGGAUGCCUAACACAUGGAAGAUAUUGAAUUUUAGCUGACUUUUUAAAUGAAAUCUUCAUAUUUUCCCAAGCAAAAAACAACUGUGACCACCUGAAAACAGAGAUCCUGCUCCUGCUUUUGUUUCAAGGUAAUCUGCAUCAUCACAGAUCCUCAUAAGAGUUAGAGACUCCAGCUAAGAACUGACUGCCCAGAGGAGCAUGGGCAACUGGUGCCACCUUAGUCGGGGGGGCACGUGCCCCCCCCAGCGACCAGUCAGCGAUCGUGACCCAUCUUGCUGACCGGUGGGGGGUCCCCCUGUGGUCGAUUGCACCGACCAGAAAGAGGCCACAGUGCUCCCGGAAACAGCCACAGUGCUACAUCCAGCACUCCCACUCCCUGGCUGGUGCUCACAGAGGGGGCUUUGGCACUCCUGCUUGGCCCCUCUCCCUCCCUCCC